rnacentral:tRNA from 1 species
GGCCGGUUAGCUCAGUUGAUUAGAGCCUGGUGCUGAUAACACCAAGGUCACGGGUUCGAUCCCCAUUUGGUCCC